AUAAACUCUGUGGAUGUGAAAAAAGACUUUUCUAGCAGAAACUGAACUAGUCACUGGAAGAGUGUGGUCAAAAUUCCUUGCCACCUCAAUUUCACUCCUGUUUUUUUUUUUGUUUUUUUUUUUUUUUUUGUUUUUGUUUUGUUUUUGUUUUUGUUUUGGUUUUGGUUUUUGUUUCCUUUAGUAGUGAAUGGUCAUGAGUGAAGCCUUGAAGUUCUGGAAGCAGAACACCCAGAUUGUUCUCUUUUGAUACAGCACAGAAGCAGAAGAAUAACCCUUUCUUGGGGAAAGGAACAGCACAGUGUUGAGAACAAUGUUGGGCUCCUUGUUUCUACUGACCAGUAUAGCUGCUAAUAAUGUCACUUUCAGUCACAGCUAAAACUUGAACACUACUAGUUAGUUUCUUCUGGAAUACAGCAUUUUUCUUCUAAUUGCACUUUAUUUUUCAUCAUUCUAUGCCUUCUCCUUUUCUAAUCCUUUUCCCAUAUAUUGCCAUUUCUUUUUCCUUCUUUCCAUCUUCCAUGUUUCCAUUUAUCCACCUCCUCCAGCUCAUUUUUCGCAGUUCUGUAUCUGACUCUACAUUAAGAUCACUCAUGCUCUUUUGGUUGCUUUUACUGAAAGCAGCAUCCCUAUAUUCUUCAUGCUUAUAUGUGGAUAGAGAGCUGGAGGCACUGCAAAGACCACUCUCCAGUCCAGAUCCUAAACCCAAGAAGGCUCAAGGAAUCCAAAACAAAGUUAAUCUGAUCAACGGGGAUCAAUAGAAAAAUUUAAAGCUGAGUGACAACUGCAAUUUUGGGACUACUCAUCUGUGUGCACUGGCCACCUGUGGGAACCAAGCCAGACAGACCUUCAGCAUUCUACAACAGAAUGCCUUAAUCUGAAACACUGAUAGCAGACCAGACUGCUGAGGGUGGUUCUGUGAAUUUUCCAGUCUGCAUAGUGCACAGGGUACUAUGAGAAAUGUACCACCACCAUGAGCCACAAGUGCAUCAGGUGAAGAAUGGCUAAGCAUGGGUGCAGAGCCAAUGGGGUGAGGAUAUGUUUCCCAAGCAGAGAAAACUAGGAAGGCUGGACAUGACAGUGAGGGUCAAAGGAGGGUCCAGAUCAUCAUUUAAGUCUGAGGCAGGUCUCAAGUUGAGACAGGAAUGUAAGUUAGAAAAGAAGGAUCAGGUCUGGCAAUAGUAACCAGGGCUGCAGUCAGCCUGGUGACUACUGGACAGGUCCAGAGAAAUAUGACAACUCUGAAGUCAGGCUGUGAAGUCAAUGCAUUCGUCAGGGUCCAUGUUAGCAGAGUGCAUGGCCAGGCAUGACUGUGACAGAGCUGGAGAUAGGCAUUCUACAGCAUAGCUUAGACAGGGACUGAUCGCCCCAUGCUGAUCCUCUGGGGCAGGGGUGUGAAGGAGACCUAUUUGAGAACCAGGAUAUUAGUGCCCUUGGGGUCUUGAUAAGCAUAUGGGACAGUGGCUGAUCAGUAACCUGAGAACAAGCAUAACUGGUGGAUAUUUUGCUAGAAGGUGCAGCACUUGACAGGUGACAAGACGCAAAUUGGGGCCUUCGGGCUUCGGAUAAGGUAGCAGAUCAAGCUGGGCAAAGGAAAAGCACAAAGCGCCAUUACAGGCUGGGGGAUGAUCUGCUGGAGAGGAGCUCUGCAGAGAGGGACCUGGGUGUCCUGGUGAAUGACAGGUUGGCCAUGAGCCAGCAGUCCUUGUGGCCCUUGUGGCCAAAAAAACCAAUGGCUUUCUGGGGUGCAUUAGGAAAAGCGUGG
ensembl:lncRNA